rnacentral:piRNA from 1 species
UAUUUUGGGAACUGUCUACCUAA